UACGAAGGGUGCAAGCGUUAAUCGGAAUUACUGGGCGUAAAGCGCGCGUAGGUGGUUCAGCAAGUUGGAUGUGAAAGCCCUGGGCUCAACCUGGGAACUGCAUCCAAAACUACUGGGCUAGAGUACGGUAGAGGGUAGUGGAAUUUCCUGUGUAGCGGUGAAAUGCGUAGAUAUAGGAAGGAACACCAGUGGCGAAGGCGACUACCUGGACUGAUACUGACACUGAGGUGCGAAAGCGUGGGGAGCAAACAGG
rnacentral:rRNA from 1 species